rnacentral:rRNA from 1 species
UGGGGAAUUUUGGACAAUGGGCGCAAGCCUGAUCCAGCCAUGCCGCGUGUGGGAAGAAGGCCUUCGGGUUGUAAACCACUUUUGUCAGGGAAGAAACGGCUCUUACUAAUAUUAGGAGCUAAUGACGGUACCUGAAGAAUAAGCACCGGCUAACUACGUGCCAGCAGCCGCGGUAAUACGUAGGGUGCAAGCGUUAAUCGGAAUUACUGGGCGUAAAGCGUGCGCAGGCGGCUUUGCAAGACAGAUGUGAAAUCCCCGGGCUCAACCUGGGAACUGCAUUUGUGACUGCAAGGCUAGAGUACGGUAGAGGGGGAUGGAAUUCCGCGUGUAGCAGUGAAAUGCGUAGAUAUGCGGAGGAACACCGAUGGCGAAGGCAAUCCCCUGGACCUGUACUGACGCUCAUGCACGAAAGCGUGGGGAGCAAACAGGAUUAGAUACCCCAGUAGUCCCUGAGCGGGCUGGCAAGGCGCAU